rnacentral:rRNA from 1 species
UACGUAGGGUGCAAGCGUUGUCCGGAAUUAUUGGGCGUAAAGAGCUCGUAGGCGGUUUGGUAAGACGGAUGUGAAAUCUCCAGGCUCAACUUGGAGGGGUCAUUCGAUACUGCCAUGACUAGAGUUCGGUAGGGGAAUGUGGAAUACCUGGUGGAGCGGUGAAAUGCGCAGAUAUCAGGUGGAACACCCGUAGCGAAGGCGGCAUUCUGGGCCGAUACUGACGCUGAGGAGCGAAAGCGUGGGGAGCGAACAGG